rnacentral:rRNA from 1 species
UACCAGCUCUCCGAGUGGUAGGGAUGAUUAUUGGGCUUAAAGCGUCCGUAGCCGGUUUGGUAAGUUUCCCGUUAAAUCCAGCGUCUCAAGCGUUGGACUGCGGGAAAUACUGUCUGGCUAGAGAGUGGGAGAGGUGUACGGUAUUCUGGGGGUAGGGGCGAAAUCCUUUGAUCCCCGGAGGACCACCAGUGGCGAAGGCUGUGCACUAGAACACGUCUGACGGUCAGGGACGAAAGCUGGGGUAGCGAACCGGAUUAGAUACCCGGGUAGUCCCAGCUGUAAACGAUGCAUGCUAGGUGUUGGGUUGGCCACGAGCCACCCCAGUGCCGCAGGGAAGCCGUUAAGCAUGCCGCCUGGGAAGUACGAUCGCAAGAUUGAAACUUAAGGAAUUGGCGGGGGAGCACCACCAGGCGUGAAGCCUGCGGUUU